GUAGUCUCGCACAGAUGCAUAUCAAUAAGCGGAGGAAAAGAAACUAACAAGGAUUCCCCUAGUAACGGCGAGUGAAGCGGGAAGAGCUCAAAUUUGAAAUCUUAAAGGGUUUCCCUUUACGAAUUGUAGUUUAAAGAAGUGUUUUCUGUUGAGGUUUUGGUAAAAGUUCUUUGGAAUAGGACAUCAUAGAGGGUGAGAAUCCCGUAUUUGACCUUUACUUUCAACUUUGUGAUACACUUUCAAAGAGUCGGAUUGUUUGGGAAUGCAGUCCAAAAUGGGUGGUAAAUUUCAUCUAAAGCUAAAUAUUGGCGAGAGACCGAUAGCGAACAAGUACCGUGAGGGAAAGAUGAAAAGAACUUUGAAAAGAGAGUUAAACAGUACGUGAAAUUGUCAAAAGGGAAGCGUUUGACACCAGUGUUGUUUUUCUGAAAAUCAAUUAAAGAACUGUUUAUGCUAAGUUGUUUAGACUUUAUCAGCUAACUGUUUAGUUUUGAGCUUUUCUUUAAUGCACUUUUCAGUUAACAAGUCAACAUCAAUUUCUUUUGCUGUAAAAAAGCUUGAGGAAGGUGGCUUGAGAUUCGUCUUAAGUGUUUAUAGCCUCUUGCCUAUGCAGUCGAAGAGAUUGAGGUCUGCAGCGUAGAUCCUUCGGGGCUAAAUGCAUUUGUGCUAAGUUAUAGCAUUUCAUAGACAACUUGUUGACUAUGAUUUGUCUUGUAGCUUACUCGCUUAUGUUAUUUUACCUACGCUUAGGAUGUUGAUCUGUAGUGCGUGCGC
rnacentral:rRNA from 1 species